CUGAAAACCAGCAUCUCUCCAUGCAUUUUUUCCCAUACUGGGAGACCGCUGAGGCAUCCUGCUUCAUGGACUUAAUAACUACCAGGUUCUCAACAGCUCCAGUACAAAGACAGCCAUUAUUGGAUUACCCAUGUUCUAGAGGAAUGCCUGAUCACAGGACCUGCUACCUACACUGUCGAGUGUCAUUCUGCCUCCAGAGAUUCUGCACAAAGAGAUCCCACUAAGAAAAUUGCCAAGAUGUGCUUCAGGUAGCGAAAUCCAGCUCGCCUCACCCAAGAAUGCCCUGAGGAACAGAUGCUGAGCUGCUUCCAGACUUGGGACAUAGAUCCAGAGCCAUUGCUAUGACUACAAUUUCUGCAGUUUGAAUCCUGUUUGCUUUAGAGCUGAGAUGCAGACUAAACAUCUGACUGUUUUAAUCUUUGGGACACAGAACUUAUUUUGAUUAAAAGAUUAAUCCACUUA